rnacentral:rRNA from 1 species
UACGUAGGGUGCUAACGUUGUUCGGAAUCACUGGGCAUAAAGAGCGCGUAGGCGGUCUGAUAAGUCAGGUGUGAAAUCCCCCGGCUCAACCGGGGAACUGCACCUGAUACUGUUGGGCUUGAGUGCAGGAGGGGAGAGCGGAAUUCCUGGUGGAGCGGUGAAAUGCGUAGAUAUCAGGAGGAACGCCGGCGGCGAAAGCGGCUCUCUGGCCUGUUACUGGCGCUGAGGCGCGAAAGCUAGGGGAGCAAACGGG